GGAUUGUGGCUCAGUGGCAGAGUGCUUGUCUCGCACAUGUGAGGCCCUGGGUUCAAUCGUCAGCACCA
rnacentral:tRNA from 1 species